rfam:Ictidomys tridecemlineatus contig057772, whole genome shotgun sequence.
GGGGCUGUGGCUCAGUGGUACAGUGCUCACCUUGCAUGUGUGAGGCACUGGGUUCAACCCUCAGCGCCA